CAACACAGCUACAACUGCCAUAAAGCAAGACAGCAAGCAGCAAACAGUGCAGAAACUCAAAACUGCACAUUGUAAACUACCUAGAUUGUCUAGCCUGGCCUCCUACAUAACUCCGAUCAAGGAAUCCUCUGCUGAACCUAAUAGCUUAUGAUGGGCUAUCAAGACUAAUAGGGCAUGCAGUCUUCAUGUGAUAAUGCCUAAAGAUGGCACAUUCACCUUUUAUCUUGAUGGUCUGUUAACUUUGUUCUCUCACCCCACUGUUUCUUGAAUCCUUCCCAUUUUCCCUUGGCUGCUAUUACUUCUGGGAGACCAGACUUUAGUCUAUGUUCCAGAAUUGGCAGAGGCUUUUAACUCUGCAUUUUAGUUUGGUUUUGCAGAGGCUUCAGUUUGUACUACGUUAACUCUUCAUUUGCUGGUUCUUGGAGUUUGAAUUUUGCCUUUUCCCGUAUUCUGGACCAACACAAGGCUCUCCUGAGUAACUGACCCUGCAGUAAUGAAGUUCUGGACGUAUGUUACAAUUUUUUUGCUUCAGGAAAUACUGUUGCACCAUUGUAUCAGCAAUCCAGCAAACAUCCAUGGGGAGAUCUUACAAGAGGACAAGAGUCUUCUGUGCUUUUUCAGGACAAGAUAGGAAUCUCUUUGAAGUUUUCAAACAUGCUCCAGGCAUAUUUUCAGAGAAUCAUCAUGAAUCUGCUCUUCAUCAACACUUCCCCGAUCAAUUAUGUACAUUCUAUCAGCCUCCAUUGGUCUGGGAGUGCAGAGAGAUGGGGGAAGGGGAGCUGGCAAGGCUUGGCUGGCAACACACUAAUCAAGGAACAGAUUGCCUUUUAAUUCUUCACGUAAGUUAAACACAUUACGUUCUCCGUAAGAAUUAGGGGAGAGGUGUAUUCAGCAUACGCCGUGAUAGAACAAAGUAUUGCAGCAUAAUGUGGGAGAUUUGGUAAAUAUUCUGUCAAAUUCUGUGCAGGUAUAGUUAAUAGCCAUAUUUUUUAUUCUUAGUAGCUUUAUUCCUUGGAGUAAGAUACUGUAUCAAAAUAGAGAUGAAAGUACUCAAACCAGAAACUAUGACAGAAAAACAAAUUGUGCACAUUUUGGCUAAAAUCCCUGAUGUAAUUCUACAGGCAAAAGAAACUGUGCCCAGAUUUUCCUGAAAUUCCCCACUGAAUCCCACAGUUUGUGCUAAUGAGAUGAGCACCCCAGUGCAUUCCUUCCCUGAGGAGAUGUGGGUGCACAUCUUAUGCUCUCCUGGUCUGCCCCUGCCUACCAAGAGAAUGAGGCUGUGGCUCCACAUAGGUUUCCUUAGUAACAACGCUGGCUUAAGCAGCUCUAGGCCCUCAGUCUUCCUUGCGUGGGGCUAGUUACCCCUACUCAUGUUGGACGGGCAUAGGCAUUUGUAUAGCCAUCACAACCAGACUGGAGGACUGAUAUGGGUGAAAAAUAACUUUUUUCCCCACCUGUGUUAUUGGAGAGGCAGAAAUGAGUUGGGGGUGCAGAGAGGUAGGGAUUGUGUAAGCUAGCAAUGCUGCUUAAAGAAAUGCUUGGUUUAAGUGUACCAGCUUUGCCCUGCACACUGGGUUAGAGCAUGUAUGAUGGGAAAUAUCCACUAAACUGAAGAAACUCAUUGACUAUGAAACAGUAUCUGAGCCUCUGGUUCUACAGGCAGCAGAGUGAAACAGGGUUUUUUUACCUACACCUACAAAUGCACAGUUACUUGAAACUCGGAUCAGUUCCUUCAUUCACUUCAGUGACCAGCACCAUUAACAGCUAUGCUGGGUCAGCCAAGGGGACACCUUGAGGGCAGGAACAAGUGGCCAGUACUGGGAACUGCCUACACCAGUACUGCCACUGAGAGAAAUGUCUGAAGAACAACAGCCUCUGAAAUGUUAGGAACCUGAGGCAGCCAACUAAUCCAAUAGGCCUGCUUUUCUUUUGAAGUUAGAGGAACGGUGCCAGCUUUAAAAGUUUUUUUUAUAUAUAUAUUCUGUCUUGAAAAUUGCCUUUACACGCAUUAUUUAAAACAUUACACAUUGGUCCAAAAAGUUUUGUAGUUGCUGCUAUAGGGAAAUGCAGACUUUGUAGAAGCUGAAGGCUUGACUUAGAGUAUAUCGAUGGUUGCAUGUGCUUCUUCUGUUCCUGUUCUUCCUCCAAAUCAGCAAGAGUCUGCCCUUUGAUACCUAAAAAUGUCUGCAGAAAUCUGGGAACUGAUUAGAUGCAGCAUUAGAAAAUUAUGCUGUUAAAGGCAGAUCUUGGAUA